CCUACGGGAGACAGCAGUGGGGAAUAUUGCACAAUGGGGGAAACCCUGAUGCAGCGACGCCGCGUGAGUGAAGAAGUAUUUCGGUAUGUAAAGCUCUAUCAGCAGGGAAGAAGAAAGACGGUACCUGACUAAGAAGCCCCGGCUAACUACGUGCCAGCAGCCGCGGUAAUACGUAGGGGGCAAGCGUUAUCCGGAUUUACUGGGUGUAGAGGGAGCGUAGACGGCUGUGCAAGUCUGAAGUGAAAGCCCAGGGCUCAACCCUGGGACUGCUUUGGAAACUGUGGAGCUAGAGUGCUGGAGAGGUAAGUGGAAUUCCUAGUGUAGCGGUGAAAUGCGUAGAUAUUAGGAGGAACACCAGUGGCGAAGGCGGCUUACUGGACAGUAACUGACGUUGAGGCUCGAAAGCGUGGGGAGCAAACAGGAUUAGAUACCCUUGUAGUC
rnacentral:rRNA from 1 species